rnacentral:piRNA from 1 species
UGCCAAGUAUCCUAUAUCUGCCUAGUUC